rnacentral:rRNA from 1 species
GACGUAGGGCGCGAGCGUUGUCCGGAUUUACUGGGCGUAAAGAGCGUGUAGGCGGCCAAACAGGUCCGUUGUGAAAACUGGAGGCUCAACCUCCAGACGUCGACGGAAACCGUGUGGCUAGAGUCCGGAAGAGGAGAGUGGAAUUCCUGGUGUAGCGGUGAAAUGCGCAGAUAUCAGGAAGAACACCAAUGGCGAAGGCAGCUCUCUGGGACGGUACUGACGCUGAGACGCGAAAGCGUGGGGAGCGAACAGG